UACGUAGGGUGCGAGCGUUAAUCGGAAUUACUGGGCGUAAAGCGUGCGCAGGCGGUGAUGUAAGACAGAUGUGAAAUCCCCGGGCUCAACCUGGGAACUGCAUUUGUGACUGCAUCGCUGGAGUGCGGCAGAGGGGGAUUGAAUUCCGCGUGUAGCAGUGAAAUGCGUAGAUAUGCGGAGGAACACCGAUGGCGAAGGCAAUCCCCUGGGCCUGCACUGACGCUCAUGCACGAAAGCUAGGGGAGCGAAUGGG
rnacentral:rRNA from 1 species